rnacentral:rRNA from 2 species
CUUUUACAAUGAAGAGUUUGAUCCUGGCUCAGGAUGAACGCUAGCUACAGGCUUAACACAUGCAAGUCGAGGGGCAUCAGGAAGAAAGCUUGCUUUCUUUGCUGGCGACCGGCGCACGGGUGAGUAACACGUAUCCAACCUGCCCUUUACUCGGGGAUAGCCUUUCGAAAGAAAGAUUAAUACCCGAUAGCAUAAUGAUUCCGCAUGGUUUCAUUAUUAAAGGAUUCCGGUAAAGGAUGGGGAUGCGUUCCAUUAGGUUGUUGGUGAGGUAACGGCUCACCAAGCCUUCGAUGGAUAGGGGUUCUGAGAGGAAGGUCCCCCACAUUGGAACUGAGACACGGUCCAAACUCCUACGGGAGGCAGCAGUGAGGAAUAUUGGUCAAUGGGCGCUAGCCUGAACCAGCCAAGUAGCGUGAAGGAUGAAGGCUCUAUGGGUCGUAAACUUCUUUUAUAUAAGAAUAAAGUGCAGUAUGUAUACUGUUUUGUAUGUAUUAUAUGAAUAAGGAUCGGCUAACUCCGUGCCAGCAGCCGCGGUAAUACGGAGGAUCCGAGCGUUAUCCGGAUUUAUUGGGUUUAAAGGGAGCGUAGGUGGACUGGUAAGUCAGUUGUGAAAGUUUGCGGCUCAACCGUAAAAUUGCAGUUGAUACUGUCAGUCUUGAGUACAGUAGAGGUGGGCGGAAUUCGUGGUGUAGCGGUGAAAUGCUUAGAUAUCACGAAGAACUCCGAUUGCGAAGGCAGCUCACUGGACUGCAACUGACACUGAUGCUCGAAAGUGUGGGUAUCAAACAGGAUUAGAUACCCUGGUAGUCCACACAGUAAACGAUGAAUACUCGCUGUUUGCGAUAUACAGUAAGCGGCCAAGCGAAAGCAUUAAGUAUUCCACCUGGGGAGUACGCCGGCAACGGUGAAACUCAAAGGAAUUGACGGGGGCCCGCACAAGCGGAGGAACAUGUGGUUUAAUUCGAUGAUACGCGAGGAACCUUACCCGGGCUUAAAUUGCAGUGGAAUGAUGUGGAAACAUGUCAGUGAGCAAUCACCGCUGUGAAGGUGCUGCAUGGUUGUCGUCAGCUCGUGCCGUGAGGUGUCGGCUUAAGUGCCAUAACGAGCGCAACCCUUAUCUUUAGUUACUAACAGGUUAUGCUGAGGACUCUAGAGAGACUGCCGUCGUAAGAUGUGAGGAAGGUGGGGAUGACGUCAAAUCAGCACGGCCCUUACGUCCGGGGCUACACACGUGUUACAAUGGGGGGUACAGAAGGCAGCUAGCGGGUGACCGUAUGCUAAUCCCAAAAUCCUCUCUCAGUUCGGAUCGAAGUCUGCAACCCGACUUCGUGAAGCUGGAUUCGCUAGUAAUCGCGCAUCAGCCACGGCGCGGUGAAUACGUUCCCGGGCCUUGUACACACCGCCCGUCAAGCCAUGGGAGCCGGGGGUACCUGAAGUACGUAACCGCAAGGAUCGUCCUAGGGUAAAACUGGUGACUGGGGCUAAGUCGUAACAAGGUAGCCGUACCGGAAGGUGCGGCUGGAACACCUCCUUUCU